UGGGCCUUUUUACCCACCCCACCUACACCUCAGGCUUCCUCUGGUGCAUUUGCAGCCAUAUCCUGGGAUGCAUCAAAGUAAGUGUGACCAGCAGGAAAAAACCAGGUGGUUCUCCUGCUCUGCUCUGUAGCCUCACCUGGACGCCUGCAUGCAGUUCUGGGUCCCCCAGCACAAGGAGGACAUUAAGCUGCUGGAGUAAGUCCAGAGAACACCACAAAGAUGAUCAGAUAGCUGGAGCACCUUCCUUAUGAAGACAGGGUUAAUUCAGCAUUAUUAGACUCUUCUAAGAGACAACCUCACUUCUCUUUGUAGAGAGCAUGAGUGUUUUGCCUUCCUGGAAGGGACGCAGGAGAAAUGCAAAGAUCGCAGUAAGCUGCUAAGCAUCGGGAUGACUGAAUUUUACUGCUUUAAACUCUGUUUGGUGACUGAUACACGGAGCCAUUUUAAGGUGUUAUCCAUCUGAUACAAGAACCUGCUUUUGUCAUGCUAUUUACAGCUAGGCACUGAUCCACUAAGGCAUCUAUUUCCCAGACAACCCUGAUAAGAGUUCCACAGUAUUAAAUGUGUCCAACCCCAGGUAAAGAAACUGAAAGACAGACGAUGCCAGGAACCUGAAAGAUCUAGAUAUGAAAGGGAGACACAUCUGAUCACAUAACUUAUCACUUGUCCUGAAAAAGGAAAAUGGUAUGAGGCAGCCAGGACAGUUUAUGUAUGUACCAAUAGACAAAUUCCAUUUUUUUUUCAUGGAUCCCUUAAAAAUAAAGAACAUACAUGCCAGAUUCUUCUAUGCUUUUCAAUCAGCCUUCUUAAAGAUAUUUCAUUAGAAGUACAAUGGCAAAAUUAUAAAGUCAGUGCCUAUAACUUCUCAA